CAAGAACUACGAAGAAGUUGGACGGGGCCGCACAAGCAGCGGAGCGUGUGGUUUAAUUCGAUGAUACACGAAGAACCUUACCCAGGCUUGACAUGUUGGUAGUAGGGAUCCGAAAGGUGACCGACCCUUCGGGGAGCCUUCACAGGUGCUGCAUGGCUGUCGUCAGCUCGUGUCGUGAGAUGUCCGGUUAAGUCCGGUAACGAGCGCAACCCUCGCUGUGUGUUAUAUGUGUCACACGGGACUGCCGGUAUCAAGCCGGAGGAAGGUGGGGAUGACGUCAAGUCAGCAUGGCCUUUAUGUCUGGGGCUACACACACGCUACAAUGGCCAGUACAAUAGGUUGCAAGACCGCGAGGUGGAGCCAAUCCUUAAAGCUGGUCUCAGUUCGGAUUGCAGGCUGCAACUCGCCUGCAUGAAGUCGGAGUUGCUAGUAACCGCGCGUCAGCUAUAGUGCGGUGAAUACGUUCCCGGGCCUU
rnacentral:rRNA from 1 species